rnacentral:rRNA from 1 species
UACGUAGGGGGGCAAGCGUUGUCCGGAUUUAUUGGGCGUAAAGAGCGUGUAGGCGGCUUUACAGGUCCGUUGUGAAAACUCGAGGCUCAACCUCGAGACGCCGAUGGAAACCAUGUGGCUAGAGUCCGGAGAGGAGAGUGGAAUUCCUGGUGUAGCGGUGAAAUGCGCAGAUAUCAGGAAGAACACCCGUGGCUAAGGCGGCUCUCUAGUACGGUACUGACGCUGAGACGCGAAAGCGUGGGGAGCAAACAGG